rnacentral:rRNA from 1 species
AUACGUAGGUGACAAGCGUUAUCCGGAUUUACUGGGCGUAAAGGGCGUGUAGGCGGUCUUGCAAGUCAGAAGUGAAAUUCCUGAGCUCAACUCGGGCGCUGCUUCUGAAACUGCAGGACUUGAGUGUCGGAGAGGUAGAUGGAAUUCCUUGUGUAGCGGUGAAAUGAGUAGAUAUAAGGAAGAAAACCAGUGGCGACGGCGAUCUUCUGGACGAUAACUGACGCUGAGGCGCGAAAGCGUGGGGAGCAAACAGGAUUAGAUGCCCUGGUAGUCCACGCCGUAAACGAUGAAUACUAGGUGUAGGGGGUAUCGACUCCCUCUGUGCCGCAGUUAACACAAUAAGUAUUCCGCCUGGGGAGUACGGCCGCAAGGUUGAAACUCAAAUGAAUUGACGGGG